UCAUCUCCGCUACACCCAUUUUGUGUACGUUGAUGCUUCACUGCCCAACAUUCUGCGCCAUACAACAUCGCUGGCCUUAUUGCCGUCCUAUAAAAUUUUCCCUUAAGCUUCAGUGGCCUACGACGGUCACACAACACGCCGGAUGCACUUUUACACUUCAUCCAUCCAGCUUGUAUUCUAUGGUUGAGAUCUCCAUCUAAUUCUCCGUUCUCUUG
rnacentral:lncRNA from 1 species